rnacentral:rRNA from 1 species
UCGGGGAGCUGGUAAACAAGCUUUGAUCCGGGGGUAUCCGAAUGGGGAAACCCGGCCCGCAAGGGUCAUCUUUAUGCUGAAUACAUAGGCGUAGAGAAGCGAACGCGGUGAACUGAAACAUCUCAGUAGCUGCAGGAACAGAAAUCAACCGAGAUUCCCGUAGUAGCGGCGAGCGAACCGGGAGGAGCCAUCAUGAGAUAGCCAAGAGCUUAGGAGAACGACCUGUAAAGGUUGGCCGCAGNGGGUAGUAGCCCCGUAUCCGAAAAGCAUUGGGUGGUGGUACUAGGCAUGAGAGAANUAGGGCGGGACACGUGGAAUCCUGUCUGAAGAUGGGGGGACCAUACUCCAAGGCUAAAUACUCGUUUCCGACCGAUAGUGAACCAGUACCGUGAGGGAAAGGCGAAAAGAACCCCGGAGAGGGGAGUGAAAUAGAUCCUGAAACCGUAUGCCUACAAGCAGUGGGAGCCCGUUUUACGGGUGACUGCGUACCUUUUGUAUCAUGGGUCAGCGACUUACUUUCUGUGGCGAGCUUAACCGAAGAGGGGAGGCGUAGGGAAACCGAGUCUGAAUAGGGCGAUAGUCGCAGGGUGUAGACCCGAAACCGGACGAUCUAUCCAUGGAUAGGAGUGAAAGGCUAAACAAGUCCGGAGAUAGCUGGUUCUCCUCGAAAGCUAUUGAGGUAGCGCGUCGCAUAUAACUGUCGGGGGUAGAGCACUGUUACGGCUAGGGGGCUGUCACGGCUUACCAAACCGUUGCAAACUAAGAAUACCBBCAAGUUGAGUGCGGCAGACAGACGGCGGGUGCUAACGUCCGUCGUCAAGAGGGAUGAAAACCCAGACCGCCAGCUAAGGUCCCCAAAUAUGGCUCAGUGGGAAACGAUGUGGGAAGGCAUAGACAGCUAGGAGGUUGGCUUAGAAGCAGCCACCCUUUAAAGAAAGCGUAAUAGCUCACUAGUCGAGUCGGCCUGCGCGGAAGAUUUACCGGGGCUCAAGCCAUAUACCGAAGCUGCGGGUGUGUUCUUUGGAACACGCGGUAGAGGAGCGUUCGGUAAGCCUGUGAAGGUGCGUUGGAAAGCGUGCUGGAGGUAUCCGAAGUGCGAAUGCUGACAUGAGUAGCGAUAAAGGGUGUGAAAACCACCCUCGCCGUAAGCCCAAGGGUUCCUGCGUCAAGUCAAUCUGCGCAGGGUGAGUCGGCCCCUAAGGUGAGGCCGAGAGGCGUAGCUGAUGGGAAAUCGGUUAAUAUUCCGAUACUGUGGUUCGAUGCGAUGGGAGGACGGAGAAAGGUAGCGGUAUCCGGGUGUUGGACGUCCCNGUGUAAGCGUGUAGGGAGUCUCCNUAGGCAAAUCCGGGGAGGCAAUCCUNAGGNGUGAUGCCGAUNUUNUACGGAAGAGAAGUACGUGAACCUACGCUUCCAGGAAAAGUCUNUAAGCUUCANUCGAAUCAUGACCGUACCCCNAACCGACACAGGUGGGCAGGAAGAAUAUUCCCAGGCGCUUGAGAGACCUCGGGUGAAGGAACUCGGCAAAUUGACACCGUAACUUCGGAAGAAGGUGUGCCCUGGUAGGUUGUAGUCCCUUNCGGACGAAGGCCGAGAGGGUCGCAGAGAAUCGGUGGCUGCAACUGUUUAA